GUUGAACGCUGGCGGCAGGCCUAACACAUGCAAGUCGAACGGUAACAGGAGACAGCUUUCUGUUUCUCUGACGAGUGGCGUACGGGUGAGGAAUGUCUGAGAAACUUGCUGAGGGAGGAGGAUAACUACUAGAAACGGUAACUGAUACUGCAUAACGUCACAAGAGCAGGGAGGGGGACCCGCGGGACUCUUGCCAUCUGGUGGUCCCGGAUGGGCUUGGCUUGUUGGUGGGGUAACGUCUCACGAAGGCGACGAUCCCUAGCUGGUCUGAGAGGAUGAACAGCCACACUGGAACUGAGACACGGUUACGACUCAUACGGGAGGCAGAAGUGGGGAAUAUUGAAAAUGGGGCGCAAGCCUGAUGCAGCCAUGCCGAGUGUAUGAAGAAGGCCUCCGCGUUGUAAAGUACUUCCAGCGGGGAGGAAGGGAGUAAAGUUAAUACCUUUGCUCAUUGACGUUACCCGCAGAAGAAGCACCGGCUAACUCCGUG
rnacentral:rRNA from 1 species